AGAUUACUACACUUGAUAUUGGGGCAUAACCCGAAGGUGGAUACUUCAUUCGACCACAAUACCGGUUGAGUCGCAAAGAGGAUAUGUGCCCCGGGGUAUAGAUGAGAGAGAAUUAGUAUCAGCAAUAGAUGAAGUUCAAACUCUUGCAAAUCGUGGCUUGGAAUUGGCUCGAGCAGGUAGAAAUCCCGAAACACAUGAACAUGUAUCAAUAUAUCAGGCUAUAAUGCAGAGGCUUCAACAAGCCUUACACCGAACUCACGAAGAUCG